AUCCAGCUGACGUGUCACAAAUAGGACGAAACGUGCGUCCUGGAU
rnacentral:hammerhead_ribozyme from 1 species